rnacentral:rRNA from 1 species
GAUGAACGCUGGCGGCGUGCCUAAUACAUGCCAGUCGAGCGAACAGACGAGGAGCUUGCUCCUCUGACGUUAGCGGCGGACGGGUGAGUAACACGUGGAUAACCUACCUAUAAGACUGGGAUAACUUCGGGAAACCGGAGCUAAUACCGGAUAAUAUAUUGAACCGCAUGGUUCAAUAGUUAAAGACGGUUUUGCUGUCACUUAUAGAUGGAUCCGCGCCGCAUUAGCUAGUUGGUAAGGUAACGGCUUACCAAGGCGACGAUGCGUAGCCGACCUGAGAGGGUGAUCGGCCACACUGGAACUGAGACACGGUCCAGACUCCUACGGGAGGCAGCAGUAGGGAAUCUUCCGCAAUGGGCGAAAGCUUGACGGAGCAACGCCGCGUGAGUGAUGAAGGUCUUCGGAUCGUAAAACUCUGUUAUUAGGGAAGAACAAAUGUGUAAGUAACUAUGCACGUAUUGACGGUACCUAAUCAGAAAGCCACGGCUAACUACGUG